UACGUAGGGGGCAAGCGUUGUCCGGAAUCAUUGGGCGUAAAGAGCGUGUAGGCGGCCUGGUAAGUCCGCUGUGAAAGUCCAGGGCUCAACCCUGGAAUGCCGGUGGAAACUGUCAGGCUCGAGUCCGGAAGAGGCGAGUGGAAUUCCUGGUGUAGCGGUGAAAUGCGCAGAUAUCAGGAGGAACACCGGUGGCGAAGGCGGGUCUCUGGGUAGUAACUGACGCUGAGGAACGAAAGCGUGGGGAGCGAUCCGG
rnacentral:rRNA from 1 species